rnacentral:rRNA from 1 species
UACGUAGGGCGCAAGCGUUGUCCGGAAUCAUUGGGCGUAAAGAGCUCGUAGGCGGCCUGUUGCGUCCGCUGUGAAAUCCCGGGGCUUAACCCCGGGCGUGCAGUGGAUACGGGCUGGCUGGAGGCAGGUAGGGGAGAACGGAAUUCCCGGUGUAGCGGUGAAAUGCGCAGAUAUCGGGAGGAACACCGGUGGCGAAGGCGGUUCUCUGGGCCUGUACUGACGCUGAGGAGCGAAAGCGUGGGGAGCGAACAGG